AUUGAACGCUGGCGGAAUGCUUUACACAUGCAAGUCGAGCGGCAGCGCGGCCUUCGGGCUGGCGGCGAGCGGCGAACGGGUGAGUAAUGCAUCGGAACAUGCCCAGUCGUGGGGGAUAACACUUCGAAAGAAGUGCUAAUACCGCAUACGUCCUGAGGGGGAAAGCGGGGGAUCGCAAGACCUCGCGCGAUUGGAGUGGCCGAUGUCAGAUUAGCUAGUUGGUGGGGUAAAGGCCUACCAAGGCGACGAUCUGUAGCUGGUCUGAGAGGAUGAUCAGCAACACUGGGACUGAGACACGGCCCAGACUCCUAAGGGAGGCAGCAGUGGGGAAUUUUGGACAAUGGGGGCAACCCUGAUCCAGCCAUUCCGCGUGAGUGAAGAAGGCCUUCGGGUUGUAAAGCUCUUUCGGCAGGAACGAAACGGUGGGCUCUAACAUAGUCCGCUAAUGACGGUACCUGAAGAAGAAGCACCGGCUAACUACGUG
rnacentral:rRNA from 1 species